rnacentral:rRNA from 1 species
UACGGAGAGGGCAAGCGUUGUUCGGAUUUACUGGGCAUAAAGCGCACGUAGGCGGACCUACAAGUCGGUUGUGAAAUCCCGGGGCUCAACCCCGGAACUGCAUCCGAUACUAUAGGUCUAGAGGAUGAAAGGGGAGAGUGGAACUUCUGGUGGAGCGGUGAAAUGCGUAGAUAUCAGAAGGAACACCGGUGGCGAAAGCGGCGAUCUGGACGAUGACUGACGCUGAGACGCGAAAGCGUGGGGAGCGAACAGG